GACGAACGCUGGCGGCGUGCUUAACACAUGCAAGUCGAACGGGGAAGCGCCUUCCUUUUUGGUGGGUGUGGAUGAGUGGCGAACGGGUGAGUAACACGUGAGUAACCUGCCCCCUUCUUCUGGAUAACCGCAUGAAAGUGUGGCUAAUACGGGAUAUUCUGGGUCUGUCGCAUGAUGGGUCUGGGAAAGAUAUUGUUUCGGUGGGGGAUGGGCUCGCGGCCUAUCAGCUUGUUGGUGGGGUGAUGGCCUACCAAGGCGGUGACGGGUAGCCGGCCUGAGAGGGUGGACGGUCACACUGGGACGGAGACACGGCCCAGACUCCUACGGGAGGCAGCAGUGGAGACUAUUGCACAAUGGGCGCAAGCCUGAUGCAGCGACGCCGCGUGAGGGAUGGAGGCCUUCGGGUUGUGAACCUCUUUCGCCAGUGAAGCAGGCCUGCCUCGUUUGUGGGUGGGUUGACGGUAGCUGGAUAAGAAGCGCCGGCUAACUACGUG
rnacentral:rRNA from 1 species